rnacentral:rRNA from 1 species
GUGCCAGCCGCCGCGGUAAUACGUAGGGUGCGAGCGUUAAUCGGAAUUACUGGGCGUAAAGCGUGCGCAGGCGGUUAUGUAAGACAGGUGUGAAAUCCCCGGGCUUAACCUGGGAACUGCGCUUGUGACUGCAUAACUCGAGUGUGGCAGAGGGGGGUGGAAUUCCACGUGUAGCAGUGAAAUGCGUAGAGAUGUGGAGGAACACCGAUGGCGAAGGCAGCCCCCUGGGUCAACACUGACGCUCAUGCACGAAAGCGUGGGGAGCAAACAGGAUUAGAAACCCCAGUAGUCC